rnacentral:rRNA from 1 species
UAGGGAAUCUUGGACAAUGGGCGAAAGCCUGAUCCAGCCAUGCCGCGUGAGUGAUGAAGGCCUUAGGGUUGUAAAGCUCUUUCGCCAGGGAAGAUAAUGACGGUACCUGGAUGAGAAGCCCCGGCAAACUUCGUGCCAGCAGCCGCGGUAAUACGAAGGGGGCUAGCGUUGUUCGGAAUUACUGGGCGUAAAGCGCACGUAGGCGGCUUUCCAAGUUGGAGGUGAAAUCCCCGGGCUUAACUCGGGAACUGCCUCCAAAAACUGGACGGCUCGAGUCCGAGAGAGGUGAGUGGAAUUUCCAGUGUAGAGGUGAAAUUCGUAGAUAUUGGAAAGAACACCAGUGGCGAAGGCGGCUCACUGGCUCGGUACUGACGCUGAGGUGCGACAGCGUGGGGGAGCAAACAGGAUUAGAUACCCUGGUAGUCCACGCCGUAAACGAUGGGUGCUAGUUGUCAGGCAGCUUGCUGUUUGGUGACGCAGCUAACGCAUUAAGCACCCCGCCUGGGGGAGUACGGUCGCAAGAUUAAAACUCAAAGGAAUUGACGGGGUCAUAGC